rnacentral:ncRNA from 2 species
GCGAUGUACCUGACACGCGGUACCUUCUCUUCGAUAGCGACGACGGCGAAGCGGAAGCCGGUGGAAAUCCGGCACGGUCGCGCCACUGUGUGCGACACGCCCCCCGGGGUGUGUCGUGAGUCAGACCCGCGGCCGUCGUCCUGUGCACCAC